rnacentral:rRNA from 1 species
GACGAACGCUGGCGGCGUGCUUAACACAUGCAAGUCGAACGCUGAAGCUCAGCUUGCUGGGUGGAUGAGUGGCGAACGGGUGAGUAACACGUGAGUAACCUGCCCUCUUCUUUGGGAUAACGCCCGGAAACGGGUGCUAAUACUGGAUAUUCACUGAUUCUCGCAUGGGGGUUGGUGGAAAGGUUUUUUCUGGUGGGGGAUGGGCUCGCGGCCUAUCAGCUUGUUGGUGGGGUGAUGGCCUACCAAGGCUUUGACGGGUAGCCGGCCUGAGAGGGUGACCGGUCACAUUGGGACUGAGAUACGGCCCAGACUCCUACGGGAGGCAGCAGUGGGGAAUAUUGCACAAUGGGCGAAAGCCUGAUGCAGCGACGCCGCGUGAGGGAUGGAGGCCUUCGGGUUGUAAACCCCUUUCGCUCAUGGUCAAGCCGCAGCUUUGGGUUGUGGUGAGGGUAGUGGGUAAAGAAGCGCCGGCUAACUACGUG